UUUCGUGGUUGGGGGGCGUUUGUGAUGGUGGCUUAGGAAGCUUCUCUUCUGGGCUGGAGAGGAGCUCUGACUCGCAGCCGGGCCCCGCCUUCGCGCUGACGAGACCUCGUUCCCGAGGUCAGGCCUGACCUGCUCAAGCCCAGAGAGUUGUAAGAAGUGGGAUAUAGAAGUUCUUCCUUGAUAAGCAGCUUCCUAUGACACAUCUGUAAUUCCCUGGUUCUACCUCAUAUCCUGUAAUCAUGGACUUGUUAAUGUGACCUUCCAAGCCGCUAACAAAUCAACUGGCCAGUUGUCUCAGAAUGUCAUAAUGAACGAAGGCAGCUGGGGCAUCUCUCACACACGUGUGCCGACCGAGUAUCGGCCCGGGCACGUGACCAUGAUUGCAGGGUUUUAUGAAGAUGUCAGCGCAGUUGCCAAAGGAUGGAAGGAAAAUCCUGUAGAAUUUGAUUCUGUUCUUAAUGAAACCAGGUACACAUGGUCCUGGGGAAGCCCAGACAUCGUGACCGUUUACCAAAGGUGACCUUGGAAACCAUAAUUUUGCACACACUUACGAUGCUUCCAGUGAGGAUUUUGGUGCCCACGAUGUAACACAACUGGACACGUGGGUUUUUGAUCAUGUGAAGAUAUGUGCUAUUGAGUGGCUAACCUGUAACACACUAGAUGCAGGAAUUCUUUCAUGCCGCCAGAAACAACCAAUCUUUGUUUUCUAAAGUAAAUGAAGACAAAAUAGUUUUUUUCUUACAUUUAUUAGGAAUAGACACAAAUGGACAUGCUCAUUGACCAUCAUCAAGGCUCCCUUGGAGCUGGUCAUCCUUUAGAGACUUGUACUCCUUUUAUCACUUGGGGAGCUGGAAUCAGGCUUCCCCAAAAAGUGUCAGCUCGGAAAUUUGAUGACUCAUAUUUGCAAGAAUGGAAGUUGGAGAACUGGAAGAGACAAGAUAUUAAUCAGGCUGAUGUUGCACCAUUGAUGGCAGCUCUUAUUGGAGUUCCCUUCCCUCUUAAUUCAGUGAUAAAGAGUACAAUCUUCUUAUCAACUCUCAGAAUAAAAGAAAAAUUAUCGAAAUCAUUCCUGUGGACAUACUUAAUACCUCCGAUCUCUUCAAAGCAGAGAGCAUGUUUGCAAAUGCAGUACAGAUUCUUGAACAGUUCAAGGUAAAAAUGACUCGGAAAAAAGAAGCUACUUUAUCAUUUUUGUUUACACCAUUGAAAAGAUACACAGGCUAUUGAAAAUAACAGUCACCUAGGAUCAGCAACUUUAUCAGGGAGAUGCUCUUCUGCAGGAGGCUCAAGCGCACGUUGCCUGUCUUCUUCCCCUCGGCCGGGAGCUGACCGUGACCCUGCCCUGCUCUGAAGCUCAACACCUGCCUGGGAGCUGCUGCUACCUUUGUGCCAGCUGGGGGCCCGACAGAAGGGCUGAUUCUCAUCCAUUGGCUCACCCGUCCUGCCUGCAAACUUGUCUGGCUGAAAAGCACCAUUUGUCGAAAGCCUGCAGCGUGACCAAAAAAGCCCCAAGAUAAAAAAUUAACUUAUGAGGAAAUCGAUCAUUGAAGGAAUAGCAAAGGACUAAAAAUAUUAAAAUCCUGAAAUCCUCAGAAGUAUCUGAGAAGCUGUUUUACCUAUAAAACAAAAAGUGGCACAAACUUUACAAAAGGAGAAGUACAGGGUGCAUUGUUUAAAAAUGGGAAAUGUGUCUAAAACCUCAUGGAACGAUCAAUUGUAUAGGAAUGAGCCAAAGGGGAGGCCAGUCCUCCAAAUUAGAAGAGCAAGUAGACCUCAAAUGAGGUGAAAUGAGUUUUCAGUAAUAUACCGAUUGAUGAGGAGCUAAGGAAACCCUGGAAGGCAUCAUUUCUUCACCCCCCUUGCGAAGGAAACUUUAGGAAAAGGAAACGUUUCAAACUGUACAAGAAAGCACCCUUGCAGCAUGCAGCAACGGAAGACGUGAUGCGAUUUGGAACAAUUGAGGCAGACACCUUGAUCAGAGCAGACACAGGGAGGGGUUCAUUUCUGUAAUGGCAAGCUGAGAGUUGAGAACAGUGGGGCAGGGAUUUACUGGUUGUCAUUAUGCCCCUCUGUACUGUUUAUUAUUAUUAAAAAUUAUAUCUGUCUA